rnacentral:rRNA from 1 species
CACGUAGGGCGCAAGCGUUGUCCGGAAUUAUUGGGCGUAAAGAGCUCGUAGGCGGUCUGUUGCGUCCGCUGUGAAAACUCGGGGCUUAACCCCGAGCCUGCAGUGGAUACGGGCAGACUAGAGGUAGGUAGGGGAGAAUGGAAUUCCCGGUGUAGCGGUGAAAUGCGCAGAUAUCGGGAGGAACACCGGUGGCGAAAGCGGCGCGCUGGAUCCCUUCUGACGCUGAGGCGCGAAAGCCAGGGGAGCAAACGGG